UUAGAAUGUUGAAAGGAAAGAGGAGAACGAAAGUCAUGAUUAAAGUAUCUACAGUUUUAAGGGGUGGAGAACUAAAAUCACGAUUAAAUUAACUGCAGUUUUAAGGGGUGGAGAACUGUAACGACGUGAAGACACCUUUCAGAUUUUGAACGUUUCGAAAGUUUGAGGAAGGGCAAGGAACUUGUGGACUAUUAAUAUUCGGAUUCUUCGAGUGAGAUACCACGCCGGUACAGAUAUGUAUAUGUUGGAUCGAGUACCACGACGGUAUGGAUAAGUAUAUGUUGGAUCAGGUACCACGCCGGUACGAAUAUGUAUAUAUUGGAUCGGGUACCAUGCCGGUACGGAUAUAUAUAUGUUGGAUCAGGACCAUGCCGGUACGAAUAUGUUUAUAUUGGAUCGGGUACCACGCUGGUACAGAUAUGUAUAUGUUGGAUCGGGUACCACGUCAGUAUGGAUAUGUAUAUGUUGGAUCGGGUACUACGCCG